rnacentral:rRNA from 1 species
UGGGGAAUUUUGGACAAUGGGCGAAAGCCUGAUCCAGCAAUGCCGCGUGUGUGAAGAAGGCCUUCGGGUUGUAAAGCACUUUUGUCCGGAAAGAAAUCCUUGGCUCUAAUACAGUCGGGGGAUGACGGUACCGGAAGAAUAAGCACCGGCUAACUACGUGCCAGCAGCCGCGGUAAUACGUAGGGUGCAAGCGUUAAUCGGAAUUACUGGGCGUAAAGCGUGCGCAGGCGGUUUGCUAAGACCGAUGUGAAAUCCCCGGGCUCAACCUGGGAACUGCAUUGGUGACUGGCAGGCUAGAGUAUGGCAGAGGGGGGUAGAAUUCCACGUGUAGCAGUGAAAUGCGUAGAGAUGUGGAGGAAUACCGAUGGCGAAGGCAGCCCCCUGGGCCAAUACUGACGCUCAUGCACGAAAGCGUGGGGAGCAAACAGGAUUAGAUACCCUGGUAGUCCACGCCCUAAACGAUGUCAACUAGUUUGUUGGGGAUUCAUUUCCUUAGUAACGUAGCUAACGCGUGAAGUUGACCGCCUGGGGAGUACGGUCGCAAGAUUAAAACUUAAAGG